GAUGAACGCUGGCGGCGUGCCUAAUACAUGCAAGUCGAGCGAACAGACGAGGAGCUUGCUCCUCUGACGUUAGCGGCGGACGGGUGAGUAACACGUGGAUAACCUACCUAUAAGACUGGGAUAACUUCGGGAAACCGGAGCUAAUACCGGAUAAUAUAUUGAACCGCAUGGUUCAAUAGUGAAAGACGGUUUUGCUGUCACUUAUAGAUGGAUCCGCGCCGCAUUAGCUAGUUGGUAAGGUAACGGCUUACCAAGGCAACGAUGCGUAGCCGACCUGAGAGGGUGGGCGGCCACACUGGAACGGAGACACGGUCCAGACUCCUACGGGAAGCAGCAGUAGGGAAUCUUCCGGAAUGGGCGAAAGCUUGACGGAGCAACGCCGCGUGAGUGAUGAAGGUCGUCGGAUCGUAAAACUCUGUUAUUAGGGAAGAACAAAUGUGUAAGUAACUAUGCACGUCUUGACGGUACCUAAUCAGAAAGCCACGGCUAACUACGUGC
rnacentral:rRNA from 1 species